rnacentral:tRNA from 1 species
GAAAAUUUAGUUAAUUAAUAACAAUAGUAUGUCAAGCUAAAAUAAUCAAUUUGAUAUUUUUCU